CAGGUGUAGUAGACCUCACAGUGAAAUGCUGAAUACAACAGGUGUAGUAGACCUCACAGUGAAAUGCUGAAUACAACAGGUGUAGUAGACCUCACAGUGAAAUGCUGAAUACAACAGGUGUAGUAGACCUUACAGGGAAAUGCUGAAUACAACAAGUGUAGUAGACCUUACAGGGAAAUGCUGAAUACAACAGGGUGAAGACUUUACAGUGAAAUGCUAAUACAGGAAAAUAACCUCACACUCAAUGUCAACAAAACAAAAGAGAUGAUGGUGGACUUCAGGAAACAGCAGAGGGAGCAGCCCCCUAUCCACAUCGACGGGACAGUAGUGGAGAAGGUGGAACGUUUUAAGUUCCUCGGCGUACACAUCACGGACAAACUGAAAUGGUCCACCCACACAGACAGCGUGGUGAAGAAGGCGCAGCAGCGCCUCUUCAACCUCAGGAGGCUGAAGAAAUUCGGCUUGUCACCAAAAACACUCACAAACUUUUACAGAUGCACAAUCGAGAGCAUCCUGUCGGGCUGUAUCACCGCAUGGUACAGCAGAUGCUCCGCCCACAACCGUAAGGCUCUCCAGAGGGUGGUGCGGUCUGCACAACGCAUCACUGGGGGUAAACUACCUGCCCUCCAGGACACCUGCACCACCUGAUGUCACAGGAUGCCCAAAAAGAUCAUCAAGGACAACAACCACCCGAGCCACUGCCUGUUCACCCCGCUAUCAUCCAGAAGGCGAGGACCUGAGCCCUAAGACCAUGCCUCAGGACUACCUGGCAUGAUGACUCCUUGCUGUCCCCAGUCCACCUGGCCGUGCUGCUGCUCCAGUUCCAACUGUUCUGCCUGCGGCUAUGGAACCCUGACCUGUUCACCGGACGUGCUACCUGUCCCAGCCCUGUUGUCCCAGACCUGCUGGAACCCUGACCUGUUCACCGGACGUGCUACCUGUCCCAGACCUGCUGUUUUCAACUCUCUAGAGACAGCAGGAGUGGUAGAGAUACUCUCAAAGAUCGGCAAUGAAAAAGCCAACUGACAUUUACUCUUGAGUUGCUGACUUGUUGCACCCUCGACAACUACUAUGAUUAUUAUUUGACCAUGCUGGUCAUUUAUGAACAUUUGAACAUCUUGGCCAUGUGCUGUUAUAAUCUCCACCUGGCACAGCCAGAAGAGGACUGGCCACCCCUCAUAGCCUGGUUCCUCUCUAGGUUUCUUCCUAGGUUUUGGCCUUUCUAGGGAGUUUUACCUAGCCACCGUGCUUCUACACCUGCAUUGCUUGCUGUUUGGGGUUUUAGGCUGGGUUUCUGUACAGCACUUUGAGAUAUCAGCUGAUGUAAGAAUGGC
rnacentral:lncRNA from 1 species